rnacentral:rRNA from 1 species
GAUGAACGCUGGCGGCGUGCCUAAUACAUGCAAGUCGAGCGAACGGACGAGAAGCUUGCUUUUCUGAUGUUAGCGGCGGAUGGGUGAGUAACACGUGGAUAACCUACCUAUAAGACUGGGAUAACUUCGGGAAACCGGAGCUAAUACCGGAUAAUAUUUUGAACCGCAUGGUUCAAAAGUGAAAGACGGUCUUGCUGUCACUUAUAGAUGGAUCCGCGCUGCAUUAGCUAGUUGGUAAGGUAACGGCUUACCAAGGCAACGAUGCAUAGCGGACCUGAGAGGGUGAUCGGCCACACGGGAACUGAGACACGGCCCAGACUCCGACGGGAGGCAGCAGUAGGGAAUCUUCCGCAAUGGGCGAAAGGCUGACGGAGCAACGCCGCGUGAGUGAUGAAGGUCUUCGGAUCGGAAAACUCUGUUAGUAGGGAAGAACAUAUGUGUAAGUAACUGUGCACAUCUUGACGGUACCUAAUCAGAAAGCCACGGCUAACUACGUG